CGAUCCCUCGUUUCCUCUCUGAUCACGGUGCCCCCUCGCCCGGCGUCAUCCUUUCACCCAUUUGCCUCCAGCCUUCGCGGUGCAUGCUCUCCGCCACUUUUCUCGUAUCCUCCAAAAAUUCCGCCGUCAGUUGCCGCGUCUCCUCGUCGCCGCUGUCGAACGACGCUUCCUUCGAGGAGCUCUUCUCCCUCGACGAACUCCUCUUCUUGCUCUUCAGCUUCGGACUCUUGAACAUA